AGACCCCGCCCUCUUCGCCAUUCCUCUAAUGGCUGCUUCCGGGAAGGCUCUGUCACGUGAAACCUCUUAGCCUCAGCGAUCCGGAACUCCAGGAAGGAACGAUUUCGAAUCAGAGAGGAUUAUACGUAAAUCUUUUUUUUUUUUU